CAGUGAUCCAUCACAGCUCUCUGACAACAAACAGUUAAAGGGGGUGAAAAGGCAAGUUAGCAAACCAAGCACACUUGAUGAAGGACACUGAGUGGAACACGUAAGGUUUCAAGCGGAAGGAAAUAUCAAACAUGGGCUAAUCAUGGAGAAUACACUACACCAGCCGUUCCAGGGCCCACUUUGAAAUGUGAAAGGUUGCCGCCCACCAAACCUUCACAACUCAACAGGACUAUGCGGGUUUUGAGCAUUUUUUGGACUGGAAAUCAUCAGCCUCAUCUGGCAACCCUGUUCCCUCUGAGAGACCUGUGUCACGGCCGGCGUUCACCUUCAAGUCAAAAGGGGAAGAGAGAGAACUUGUCGAAUCGUGGGAGGCUUUGGGAAGCUCAAACCCUGCACAACAUUUUUAUUGUUUUUUUUUCAAUUUCACAAUAAAUGAAAC